rnacentral:rRNA from 1 species
UACGUAGGAGGCGAGCGUUGUCCGGAAUUAUUGGGCGUAAAGAGCUCGUAGGCGGUCUGUCGCGUCGGCUGUGAAACCCGGGGCUCAACCCCGGGCCUGCAGUCGAUACGGGCAGACUAGAGUGCGGUAGGGGAGACUGGAAUCCUGGUGUAGCGGUGAAAUGCGCAGAUAUCAGGAGGAACACCGGUGGCGAAGGCGGGUCUCUGGGCCGUAACUGACGCUGAGGAGCGAAAGCGUGGGGAGCGAACGG